UGGGGAAUUUUGGACAAUGGGCGAAAGCCUGAUCCAGCAAUGCCGCGUGUGUGAAGAAGGCCUUCGGGUUGUAAAGCACUUUUGUCCGGAAAGAAAUCCUUGGCUCUAAUACAGUCGGGGGAUGACGGUACCGGAAGAAUAAGCACCGGCUAACUACGUGCCAGCAGCCGCGGUAAUACGUAGGGUGCAGGCGUUAAUCGGAAUUACUGGGCGUAAAGCGUGCGCAGGCGGUUUGCUAAGACCGAUGUGAAAUCCCCGGGCUCAACCUGGGAACUGCAUUGGUGACUGGCAGGCUAGAGUAUGGCAGAGGGGGGUAGAAUUCCACGUGUAGCAGUGAAAUGCGUAGAGAUGUGGAGGAAUACCGAUGGCGAAGGCAGCCCCCUGGGCCAAUACUGACGCUCAUGCACGAAAGCGUGGGGAGCAAACAGGAUUAGAUACCCUGGUAGUCCACGCCCUAAACGAUGUCAACUAGUUGUUGGGGAUUCAUUUCCUUAGUAACGUAGCUAACGCGUGAAGUUGACCGCCUGGGGAGUACGGUCGCAAGAUUAAAACUCAAAGGAAUUGACGGGGUCAUAGCUGUUUCCU
rnacentral:rRNA from 1 species